UACGUAGGGUGCGAGCGUUAAUCGGAAUUACUGGGCGUAAAGCGUGCGCAGGCGGUUUUGCAAGACAGAUGUGAAAUCCCCGGGCUUAACCUGGGAACUGCAUUUGUGACUGCAUGGCUGGAGUGCGGCAGAGGGGGAUGGAAUUCCGGCGUGUAGCAGUGAAAUGCGUAGAUAUUGGGAAGAACGACCGGUGGCGCAGGCGGCGAAGCCUGGUCCGAUAC
rnacentral:rRNA from 1 species